rnacentral:rRNA from 1 species
UACGUAGGGUGCGAGCGUUGUCCGGAAUUAUUGGGCGUAAAGAGCUUGUAGGCGGUCUGUCGCGUCUGCUGUGAAAAUCCGGGGCUCAACCCCGGACUUGCAGUGGGUACGGGCAGACUAGAGUGUGGUAGGGGAGACUGGAAUUCCUGGUGUAGCGGUGAAAUGCGCAGAUAUCGGGAGGAACACCGGUGGCGAAGGCGGUUCUCUGGGCCUGUACUGACGCUGAGGAGCGAAAGCGUGGGGAGCGAACAGG